rnacentral:rRNA from 1 species
AUUGAACGCUGGCGGAAUGCUUUACACAUGCAAGUCGAACGGCAGCACGGGUGCUUGCACAUGGUGGCGAGUGGCGAACGGGUGAGUAAUACAUCGGAACGUACCCAGUUAUGGGGGAUAACUAACCGAAAGGUUAGCUAAUACCGCAUACGCCCUGAGGGGGAAAGCGGGGGACCGUAAGUCCUCGCGUAAUUGGAGCGGCCGAUGUCUGAUUAGCUAGUUGGUGAGGUAAAGGCUCACCAAGGCGACGAUCAGUAGCAGGUCUGAGAGGAUGAUCUGCCACACUGGAACUGAGACACGGUCCAGACUCCUACGGGAGGCAGCAGUGGGGAAUUUUGGACAAUGGGCGAAAGCCUGAUCCAGCCAUUCCGCGUGAGUGAAGAAGGCCUUCGGGUUGUAAAGCUCUUUCGGCAGGGAAGAAACGCUCUGGGAUAAUACUCCGGGGUAAUGACGGUACCUGAAGAAGAAGCACCGGCUAACUACGUGCCAGCAGCCGCAGUAA